AAAAAUCUGCUCUGUAUGUUAAUUGGCUGACACUGCCUUUUCCUUACAAACCUAUUAGAUACUUGCUGUAAAGAAAUCAGCCUGCCAGUUUGGUUUCAACCCAUAACUUUUGACUCUGACCAGAACUGGGCAUAAACCAAUGAAGAUAAUUUUCGUAUUGUUUGAACUGAGAAAACUGUUGAGCCCUUCCUUCCUCUCACACUGUGGUAAAGACAAGGAGAACUGAGCCCCCGGGCAGCCCAUAAAUUGACAAAUGUGGCUCCCCAACUAGCCACAAGAGAUGCUGUCUUGCACCCAUCCAGGGAACAAUGUGCAGAAUUCGCACCAGAGACAAUAUGGGUUUGAACAGGGGAUACUGUAGAGGAGCUGCUGAUUGCAGAGGGAGGGCAGUGAGUUGGGGCAGCCAUGCCCUGUCUGGGAGUGGAAUUCCUUCUCCUUGAUCAAUGGCCUGGUCUGAGAGGUACAGGGAUGGUACAGACUGGAGAGCACUGGAACUGCACCACUGGGAGUAUUCUAAGAUUACCUCAACUACUGAUCACCUCGCUAAGUGGUUGCUUCACCCAACUGUGGCCAGAAUGGGAAGUGUUGUGACUGAAGUCAAUUAUCUUGAAGUCCUUGGGAAGGGAGAGGUACAAAGGCUACACCUCAGUGAGCUGUCAGUGGUCUCAGGAUCAGAUGCCAACUGCAGUGCAUUGGUGAGGUUGUACCUUGGAGCUGAAUUCUUCAGAGCCUGGCACCUGGACAGAUGCAGGAGCAUUUCUCCUGGGAACAAAAUGAAGUUGCUGGGAAACAGCUGACAUAUAAACCCACAAGGAAGAACAGAACACAAGAGGGUAAAGCACUGAUGCCUACAGCAAAUAAUUCACUCAAUAGGUGUGAGUUGUCCUCACCGCUUCCACCUGUUAAGAAAUGUCUGCAAAUGAUGUCGUGGGAAGGGCAGAAACACCUGGAAUUUACCACAGUAACAUCCUCAGAAACUCACCUUCUCCAUCUGAAAGAAUAAGAGCUCACAACAGGUAUUUUACAUUUCCAAUGUCCCUGUAUACCAGUACACAGCUGUUUAGUGAUUUGGAUGAUGGGUGGUGACGUGGCUUGUGAAUGAGGUAAAUGCAAUCAUUCAUGUGUAUCAGCAGGUCUCCAAAAUUCAGCACGAAAUAUUGCUUAGAGAAAUACUGCUUUAUUUAAGUUAUGAUUCCUAACUCAAAAAAUAUUCCCUAUUAACGCAUUCAGUGAAAGCAUCAGUUCUGUGUGAUGUGGAGAAAACAAAACACCCGACUUCAGAGACUUCAUCUUCAAAGGCUUUUUUAAAGUUUAUGCUGUCCUUCCAUUCCUCACACUCCCAUGACUGGUUUAGUUGCAUACAGGUUAGCUGCAGUCAGAGGAGGCAGUUUAGCCACCCUGAACAACACUGAAUUGCAGCUAUCAGGAUUGGGUGUGAGGGCACUGGGGGAGCAGUGUGUGCCUGCAGGGUCCCAGCUCCUGUCCCUGCAGCACCCCAGCACUGUGUGGGGCUGUGCACCAAGUGGUGUCAGGGAACUGUCUCACCAGCAAGUUUUGUCC
ensembl:lncRNA